rnacentral:rRNA from 1 species
AGUACGUGAAACUGCUUAGAGGUUAAGCCCGAUGAACCUGAAUAUCCGUUAUGGAAAAUUCAUCACUAAUAUUGUAAUAUAUAUCAUAUUAUAGAAAUAGUGUGCAAUUUUUCCAUAUAAGGACAUUGUAAUCUGUUAAUGUAAUAAAUAUUUAUCAAAAGAUCUUUUACUUAAGUUUAUUCAAAUUAGUUAUUUUCGGAUUUCUAACAUAGAAUAAAUGUAUUAGAUUUGAUAAAUCAUUGACAGAUUUAAUUAUAUAUAGUGCUUAAAUUUUUCGGAAUUUUACAAUGCUAAAUAAAUCUAUUGAUAUAUUUUAUAUUGUAUGCGCUUAUAUGAUUAACAAUGCGAUAGAUUCAGGAUACCUUCGGGACCCGUCUUGAAACACGGACCAAGGAGUCUAACAUAUGUGCAAGUCAUUGGGUAUUUUUAAUAAAACCCAAUGGCAUAAUUAACUUAACUGUUUUAAAUGGGAUUAGUUUAUAUUUUAAUAUGAAAUAUAAAUUCAAUCCCGGGGCGUUCUAUACAGUUAUGCAUAAUGAUAUUUAUAUUAAUUAUGCCUCUUACUAGAGC